UCGAUGUAUAUAAAACAAUAUGUUAUAGAAAUCGAUAUCAUUCAAGACAUGAUUUAACAAAUUUUAUACAAUAAGUAUUAUUAGAGUACUAUAACAGUGUAGAUUUUAAAAUAAUUCACAGUAAAACAAUUCUUCAAUAAUCAUAUAAAGCUCCUACUUAAAUUAUUAAUCUAUGUAUUUGUGUGUAAGAGAGAGAGAGAGAGAGAGAGAGAGAGAGAGAGAUUAAACUUGAGUUAUAGCAAUCUAUAUGGGAUUCUCUUUUUGAACAGAUUUCCUUCACCAUAUUAUUUCAGAAAUUCCGUCGUUAUACUAUUGGUAAUAAAAAAUUUAUGUCAUUUCCAGUCAUUGAUAUAAUAUGACGUAUGCGCGCCAUGCUACUACGUCAUGUAGAUCCAGUUACAUAAAAUCUUUGGCAAAGGUAUGAUUAAUCAUUGACCCAUGACUCUGUAAAUAUGUAUCUAAUAUUAUUGUAUUCCAUAAACAGCUACUCGCCAUUUGUCAUUUUUUACAUAAUUUUGAUUUCUUCCAGUAUGAGCAUUCGGAAGCGAUCUUGCUCGUAAAAUGCACCUGGUCGACAUUAUUUUGAUACAAUAAUCAUGCAUGUUUCAACCAACACUAUCCCCCAUUACUAUUGUUUCUGUUUCAUGUUCUAUGUGUUCCGAUUCUUCAUUUGUCUCAGAUUCACCACGUGCAUCCACAAAUUCCUGUGAACAGAUUAAUAUUAAAUUUAACAUAAAUAGUCUAAGGAGAAGUUAGAAAUGCGAUUAAUUUACUAGUACGUUAAAUUAAGAUCCUUACAUCACGAGUGGGAUCGUCAAUACUGCUAUCUGCAUUUAAAACUUCACCUAAAAACCCCCCC